CCUACGGGGCGCAGCAGUCGGGAAUAUUGCGCAAUGGAGGAAACUCUGACGCAGUGACGCCGCGUGAGUGAAGAAGUAUUUCGGUAUGUAAAGCUCUAUCAGCAGGGAAGAUAAUGACGGUACCUGACUAAGAAGCCCCGGCUAACUACGUGCCAGCAGCCGCGGUAAUACGUAGGGGGCAAGCGUUAUCCGGAUUUACUGGGUGUAAAGGGAGCGUAGGUGGCAGGGCAAGUCAGAUGUGAAAACCCGGGGCUCAACUCCGGGAGUGCAUUUGAAACUGUCCAGCUAGAGUGCAGGAGAGGUAA
rnacentral:rRNA from 1 species